GAUGAACGCUGGCGGCGUGCUUAAUACAUGCAAGUCGAGCGAUGAAGUUUCCUUCGGGAAACGGAUUAGCGGCGGACGGGUGAGUAACACGUGGGUAACCUGCCUCAUAGAGUGGAAUAGCCUUCCGAAAGGAAGAUUAAUACCGCAUAACGUUGAAAGAUAGCAUCAUCAUUCAACCAAAGGAGCAAUCCGCUAUGAGAUGGACCCGCGGCGCAUUAGCUAGUUGGUGGGGUAACGGCCUACCAAGGCGACGAUGCGUAGCCGACCUGAGAGGGUGAUCGGCCACAUUGGGACUGAGACACGGCCCAGACUCCUACGGAGGCAGCAGUGGGGAAUAUUGCGCAAUGGGGGAAACCCUGAUGCAGCAACGCCGCGUGAGUGAUGAAGGUUUUCGGAUCGUAAAGCUCUGUCUUUGGGGAAGAUAAUGACGGUACUCAAGGAGGAAGCCACGGCUAACUACGUGCCAGCAGCCGCCGUAA
rnacentral:rRNA from 1 species